rnacentral:misc_RNA from 1 species
CAAUACUCUUAACCCUUUUAUCGUUUAAUAAUUAUUGUUAGGUAGUUUAUAGUUUUUUUUUUUUAUUAGGUUUCGAUAACGCGUACGGAUUAUUAUUAUUAUUAUUAUUAUUAUUAUUAUUAUUAUUAUUAUUAUUAUUAUUCUUAUUUUUUUGGAAGCAAACCUUAUUCCUGUUUGGGAAGGAUUUACCGAGGGGGUGGAAGGUGGUGGCUCUUAUCUUGUUUAUCUUGUUCAGCGGUGGUUACGGGGGCGGGAUGGGAUCUCGGAGGGGACGCACCUGUUGUCCCGCGCGAAAAUCUGCGAAAAAUCAGAAAGUCGAAUAGCGAAUCUCCAGCGAUUCCGUGGAAUUUUUGCGCUCCUUCUUUUUGCUUUUUUUUUUUAAUUUUCUUUUUC